UACGGAGGGGGCUAGCGUUGUUCGGAAUUACUGGGCGUAAAGCGCACGUAGGCGGCGACUCAAGUCAGAGGUGAAAGCCCGGGGCUCAACCCCGGAACUGCCUUUGAAACUAGGUCGCUAGAAUCUUGGAGAGGUCAGUGGAAUUCCGAGUGUAGAGGUGAAAUUCGUAGAUAUUCGGAAGAACACCAGUGGCGAAGGCGACUGACUGGACAAGUAUUGACGCUGAGGUGCGAAAGCGUGGGGAGCAAACAGG
rnacentral:rRNA from 1 species